rnacentral:rRNA from 1 species
CCAGUUUGAUACUGGCUCAGAUUGAACGCUGGCGGCAGGGCUAACACAUGCAAGUCGAGCGGAUGAUGGGAGCUUGCUCCCGGAUUCAGCGGCGGACGGGUGAGUAAUGCCUAGGAAUCUGCCUGGUAGUGGGGGACAACGUUUCGAAAGGAACGCUAAUACCGCAUACGUCCUACGGGAGAAAGCAGGGGACCUUCGGGCCUUGCGCUAUCAUAUGAGCCUAGGUCGGAUUAGCUAGUUGGUGGGGUAAAGGCCUACCAAGGCGACGAUCCGUAACUGGUCUGAGAGGAUGAUCAGUCACACUGGAACUGAGACACGGUCCAGACUCCUACGGGAGGCAGCAGUGGGGAAUAUUGGACAAUGGGCGAAAGCCUGAUCCAGCCAUGCCGCGUGUGUGAAGAAGGUCUUCGGAUUGUAAAGCACUUUAAGUUGGGAGGAAGGGCAGUAAGUUAAUACCUUGCUGUUUUGACGUUACCAACAGAAUAAGCACCGGCUAACUUCGUGCCAGCAGCCGCGGUAAUACGAAGGGUGCAAGCGUUAAUCGGAAUUACUGGGCCGUAAGCGCGCGUAGGUGGUCUGGUAAGAUGGAUGUGAAAUCCCCGG